ACGUUAUACUUAUUUUGCGCUUCUGACGAGUAGACGAGUAGACGUGUGCAGAUUUACCUUUGUGCGUAUUAAAAAUUUUAUAUUUUACACACAAUUGUUAAUAAUAAAAAUAAAUUAUUAAAAAAGUGAAUUGAAAUUCUUUAAGAGCUUUCGUUUGCUACUAUUAUAUAAAUAAAGAAAAUGCCACGCUAUCGUGAAUGGGACUUAGCUUGCAAAGUCUACGUUGGAAAUUUAGGAUCCUCUGCUUCAAAAUAUGAAAUAGAAAACGCCUUCAGUAAAUAUGGACCCCUAAGAAAUGUUUGGGUUGCUCGAAACCCACCAGGAUUCGCGUUUGUUGAAUUUGAAGAUCGUCGCGAUGCAGAGGAUGCAACACGAGGCUUAGACGGAACACGAUGCUGUGGUACUCGGAUUCGUGUUGAAAUGUCUUCGGGGCGGUCACGACGAGAUGACAGACGCCGUGGUGGCGGCAGCGGUGGUGGUGGUGGUGGUGGUGGAAGCAGCAGCGGCGGCCGAGGUGGUGGUCGCUAUAGGAUAAAGUCUACUGCUACUACUACUUCUACUAGAUCUUCUACCUCCUCUUCCUUCAACAAAAACUACAAAAACAACAUCUUCACGAAUCACAACUACUGCUCCUUCUCCACAAACUUCACCACGACCAGCAACAAGCUCAACUUAAUAUCGUUCAACAACAACAUUUUUGAUUGUAGAGAAAAGAAUGUUAUACAACAAUUUUUUAACAGAGAAAAUCAACAAAAUUUCGACAACAACAAUUUUAGUAAUAGCUACCAUCAUUAUUUUCAACAUCACCAAAAACAACUACAAGAAAAGCCUCAACACAGUACUUCCAUCAAUAAAUUUAAAAUCAUAGUUUUUAUUAUCAACACCAACACCUUGAACACCAAAGACACCAUCGUCACAACAGUCUUGCACAUAAAAUUUGCUCUCGUUUUCGCUGUAGUCAUUGUCAUCAACACCUAUCUAACAAUUGUUGUUGUCGUAAUAGAAAACAGUCACAGUUGUCCUGAUGUUAAGUGCAGUAAAAGAUCAGCAAUCAUUAGAACAGCAACUACUACUACUAGUCAAAUAACUACUACUAUUACUACUGCUACUACUACUACUACUGCUACCUCAACUGCAACUGCUUCUACAGUCACUGCAACUAUUGCCACUACAAGAAUUAGUGCAACUAGUAAAAGUGUGCUUGGGCAGCAGGCGCAGGAACAGCAUCAAAGGCCAAAGUUAAAGCAUUUACAACAGCCAUCAUCAUUAAUACCACUUCUACCACCACAACCACCUUAACAACUUAAAUAUAUACUACCACAUCCUUCUCCUCUGUUUAUGCAACAAUUGACUGUGUGAAAGUGUCCACAACACAACUACCUUCAGCACAACAAAUACCACCACUACCAACAACAAAUAAUAACAUCGACAUUGACAAAAGAAUUGCAUACUCAUGUAAAAUAUAACUGUACAGUAUGCUUGAUCGGGUAAUGUAUGUAUGUUUGGACAACCUCAAAAUGAACCUAAGGUUGCUCACACGAAAUAGGUGCCUACAAAGUAAUUAUAUCGAAUUACUUGAUUUUUUCAUCUAUUUAACGAGCUCUACAACGCAUUCACUUUUUGACCGAAAUUAAUAACAACAACUAUCAUUGAAAACUAACAUUUGAAACGACAACAAUCAACAAGUGAUAUUACAAAUGUUUUUAAAGGUUGCUGAGUUAUUAGACAGACUUACGGACAUGACGAGCUUUGACUUUAUUUCAACAUGAAUUUAUAUCGGAAAAAUGUUCGGAAUUUCGAAGGUUUGCAAGUUGCUGUCUUCAAUCGGCGUCAUUCCAACAGUUCUUCAACAACUUCAACUUCACUCUUGCUCUUUCUGCAGUCGUUUCAACUGCAAAAUUACAUUUCUGCAACAAAUGUCCGGGCAAUGUUUCAACAAAGCAAUCUUAAUUGAAUCCACUCAACUCAACUAAGUGCAAAAAACAGCGAGGCGGAAAUCAAAAAAUAUUGAAAAUCAUAUUCCACUCUAAAAACGGGGAAGGGUAGGUGUUACCAUGAUCAUCGUUUUUGGCAUGCAAAUGUGCACAACGGCAUUUUUGAGUGCAUCAAGAACGAAAGUAAAACAUUUCCGGCCACUUCAAGUGAAAGCAAAGUCACAUCAGCUCAAUUAUCACCACUCACAUCUGCAGCAGUUUCUACAAAAGGGGUGGAAAUGAAAAUGUGACGUGUUAAAUCCUCUGCUCUACAAGUAUAAAUCAACCCUUUAAUUCGCUCACACCCCAUUACAUCCAUAUUGGUUUGAAGGCAGUCAUGUGCAAUUGUAAAUUUUAUCGGCUGGUUAAUAAUGUCGAGUUUGUGUACAUCAUCUGGCUGCAACAGCAAAUAUCGGCAUAAUUACUAUGUGUCUAUGUGUCUACAAGAACGCCAACUGAAUAACCGCACUCACCACUACUUUGAAAACGAGGACAACAACAAGCUUAUGUGAAAAACAUCACUACCUCUGCGCUUCAAAACCAACUAUCAAUCCAAAACUGGCUUUUGUCUACUUAUGUCAUCCCCAUAAUGUCCGAUAUGCGCAACGAUCGCUACUAAGUAUCACUGUCAUAUGAGUGAGCCAAGCUUCUAGUAUAUGUACAUAUAUGAUUAUCCUCUCAUUAGUCGAUUUUUACAUAUAACGUAAUAUUUUUGGUUUAUUUAGAGUAGUCAUCAUAAGCCAGUUGAAAUUCAACAAAAGAAACUUCCAUUAUCACCUAAUCAUCACCAUCACUACUACUACUACUACUUCUACAAAAACACCUCAACAACUGAGAUCAAGUUUUUCUGCGUAGGAAAUAAAAAAAAAACGGUUAAAUUUUUUUCAUAGCAUAGCAAGUUUAUCAGCUGGCUACAAAAUCAGCUAAUGUGGUUCAACAAUCCGACAA
rnacentral:misc_RNA from 1 species